rnacentral:rRNA from 1 species
AGCGAACGCUGGCGGCAGGCCUAACACAUGCAAGUCGAACGAACCUUUCGGGGUUAGUGGCGGACGGGUGAGUAACACGUGGGAACGUGCCUUUAGGUUCGGAAUAACUCAGGGAAACUUGUGCUAAUACCGAAUGUGCCCUUCGGGGGAAAGAUUUAUCGCCUUUAGAGCGGCCCGCGUCUGAUUAGCUAGUUGGUUGAGGUAAUGGCUCACCAAGGCGACGAUCAGUAGCUGGUCUGAGAGGAUGAUCAGCCACAUUGGGACUGAGACACGGCCCAAACUCCUACGGGAGGCAGCAGUGGGGAAUCUUGCGCAAUGGGCGAAAGCCUGACGCAGCCAUGCCGCGUGAAUGAUGAAGGUCUUAGGAUUGUAAAAUCCUUUCACCGGGGACGAUAAUGACGGUACCCGGAGAAGAAGCCCCGGCUAACUUCGUG